AGGGCCGCGGGGACCGGCGGCGGCGGCGCGAGCCGUGCCCUGACUGUCGAGAGCCGCAUGAGCGUGGCGCCCGCGUCACUCGGCGCCCCUGGGGACCCGGCCGCACAGCGCUCCCGUCCGAGAAAGGGGCGCACCCCAGCGCCCGAGGCCCGCGGAAGAGCGGCAAGCCCAGGCCAAGGCGCGGGGAAGGCUUCUCGAAUAUUCCUUUGCAGCCUGUAGUUUGGGGACUGAAGGUUCUGCACCCAGCGUGGAUACCAACGUGGGGUUUGAACUCACGACCCUGAGAUCAAGACCUGAGCUAAGAUCAAGAGUUGGAUGUUUAACUGACUGAGCCACCCAGGGGCCCCAGAUUGGUUAUCUUUCAUUUAUUUCUAUUCUUUUAGUAGCUUACCUAAACAAUGUCUGAGACUGUCCAUCGCCCUCUCCUCCUCCGGAGCAAGACGAAUUUUCUGGAAUGUUUAACCAGGAAUCCCUUCACUCUCAUCAUCCAUCAUACUGUUGCUGAUAUUUUAGUGUCACCUUGAUUUUAAGACUCCUCACUACUCAUUAUUAUUAAACAUGAUAUUGAUGGAAA